UUAACUGACUUGCCUAGUAAAAUAAAAAAAAAUCUUUCAUAUCAGCGAGAAAUAACUUUCUAAAGACAAAAGUUUACAUUUCUAAAUACCUUCAUAGGGUUAGUGUUCCCACACAGCCAUAUCUCCACGUUACAUCACUUGUUUACGGAAGUCAGAUGGACGACACAGACGGCCACCUGUUCUAGUUAGCUAUCUAGCGUGCUCGGGAACACCUGUGUGUAAGCGUAACAGGGAGGAAAUGUAGUUUGUCAACUGGAGGACCACACAGCUCUGUGCACAACUUCUACAAGGAAGGCCACCAAUAACACCUUCUGGAUCUUCACUGGCCGCCAAUACACAGUUGAGAUCCUUUGAAAGGGACUCUUCAUGAACAUUGGCCAAAGAGCGCUAGAGUCCACUUUGGUAUGGAUGGCUCUAUGCGAAUUAACCCCACUGAGCAAAAUCAGAAAGGGAUCAUCCCCCCCUGUGCUGGAGAUCCACCUCACCAAUGACAUAGUCUGCGUCUUUGACUCCACUGUGGAAAUCACCUAUGGGGAUAUACUGGGCUAAUUCACACUGGGCUGGAACAAAGCCUGCAAUCUCAGCAGCCUUCGAGGAUUGCAGUUGCUUAUCCCUGCCACAAAGCACUACUCUUUUGUUCUUGGCAUGAACCCAUAUAGUUCCAGCUUCUCCCACGCGAAGGAGAUGGUGAGGAGGCAGAGCUGUAGGUGCUGUACUCCUAGACCAGGCCAUCCUACCAGGAGUGGGUUACGUCAUUAAGAACAAAACCCUGUUUUACCCCGGUCUUCACCCUUCUAUUAAGGUCAAGCAACUCAUGGAAAACAAGGUCCACCAUUUUGUGAAAAUGACAUAAGAUUUCACUCUUCUAUUUUACAAGAUCAAGCUGUCACGUUGUUUCAUUCAGGCGACAGCCACAUAGUGGACAUGAAGGCUUGAUGAGGAUGGCGGAGGUGGUGAUGGGACCGCAGACUGCACCAUGAAAAAUUCAAAGACCUCAAGCUGCAGCAAAUGAGGGUACGUUUAAGGUGUGUGUGAGUGAGGAAGAGAACAUGUGUGUGUGCGUGUGCACACGUGAUGCAGUUUUACUGAGUUACAGCAUUGUUUAUGUAGAUCCGUCUGACACUAUAAUGAGCAUUACUUGAUUGAAUGUAAAGUAUCAUGCAGUCAUGUUGUCAGUGGUGGAAAAAGUAUUCAAUUCUAAAACUUUAGUAAAAGUAAAGAUACCUUAAUAGAAAAAGAGAAAGUCAACCAGUAAAAUACUACUUGAGUAAAAGUCGAAAAGUAUUUGGUUUUAAAUAUACUUUUACAAUCAAAAGUAAAUGUAGUUGCUAAAAUAUACUUAAGUAUCAAAAAUAAAAGUAAAAGGAUGAAUCAUUUAAAAUUCCUUAUUUUAAGCAAACCAGACGGCACAAUUUUUUAUUCAUUUUUAUUUACGGAUAACAAAGGUAUUUGUGUUUAGUGAGUCCGCCAGAUCAGAGGCAUUAGGGAUGACCAGGGAUGUGAUAAGUGUGCGAAUUGGGCCCUUUUCUGUCCUGCUAAACAUUCAAAAUGUAACAAGUACUUUUGUAUGGAGUAAAAAGUACAUUAUUUUCUUUAGGAAUCUCGUGAAGUAAAAGUUGUCAAAAAUAUAAAUAGUAAAGUAAUGUACAGAUACCAAAAAAUCUACUUAAGUUGUCACAUGAUCUGUUUCACCUGUCCUUGUGCUUGUCUCCUCCCCCUCCAGGUGUCACCCAUCUUCCCUACUUAUCCCCUUGGUAUUUAAACCUGUGUUUUCUGUCUGUCUGUGUCAGUUCGUCUUGUUUUGUCAAGUCAACCAGUGUGUUUCUCCGUACGCCUGCUUUUUCCUCUUCUCUGUUUUUUGCUAGUCCUCCCGGUUUUGACCCUUGCCUGCCUUGACUCUGUACCUGCCUGCCUGACCAUACUGCCUGCCCUGACCUCGAGCCUGCCUGCCUCUCUGUACCUCCUGGACUCUGACCUUGUUAUGAUCUUUGCCUGUCCACGACCAUUCUCUUGCCUGCCCCUUGGAUUAUAAUAAAUAUCAGAGACUCUAA